UACAAAAUAAAGUCGUACAGAGAACCAUCUACUGGACGAGAUGCCCCACCAGAAGCAGACGGUAGUGAUUGUCGUUUUUGUUGUUUUAUUUCUCUUGCAUUGUAAAAGUGGUAGCACAACCGAACAAACUUAUCAGAUAGAGGAUGCCGAAGUCGUCAAUGAUGACGCACCGGUCUAUUCUCGAGAUUGUUUCGACAUCAGGUCAACAAAAUUCUGCAAACGGUUUCAUAAUUUCUGUGACAAGGAAGACGGCAAUGGGCGUUACAUGCGGACUAACUGCCACUUUACUUGUGGAUGCUGAGGCUUAGCAGGCACUUCAUUUGCACCUCCCUAAAGAAGACUCAAGAUAACAUCAAUAAGUAAACGAGACUAACUCACGUUUGCAAGUUAAUUAAAAUUUUUCUUGCAAUGCUG